AUGCAAUGAAGUUACUGAGAGCAUGGAGUGCUCUCAUCAUCAGCAAAGCAGGCAGUUUGCUUUGUUCCUACUUCUCAAGCUCUCGGUCUGAUGAAAAGACAAGGUACUUGAGGAAUGUUUCAGUUCUACAAAAAUUCUGCACAAAUGUAAUGUUUAGUGAAGAUUAAAAUACAAUGACUGUGCUGCCGAGUGCUGCCUUCUUAUUUAGUGUAAUCCUUUAUCAAAUAUUAUUCUUCUGUUAGUCAGUAACAUCUAGAAAGAAGCUUCUGAUGAGUGUUUUUUUCAUCUAUUUCUGUACUACUUAAGUGGUUUGCAGAAUGGAAGUGUUACUCAUGUUCUAGACUGAAUGCUACAAGGAUAUUUUUUUCCAGUUUUCUGAAGGGCUGUUUUAUUGGAUAAUUCCAGUGGCUGCAUAGAAAAAUCCCUCCAGGCAUUGCAUGAGAAAGUCACUUCUGAAGUUGUUUCCAUCUGGCUCUGACAUUUGUUGAGUUACAAGUAUAGUACUGAUUUCGCUAUGGGUGUUUUAGUUUAAACAUUUUCAGUUUAACAAUAAUGGCAGUAAUGCAUUUAAAUUCAUUAAGUGAGGAAAUACAGGAAAUCACAACUUCAGAUUUACAUCUAAAAUGAUUAUUUACUACAGGUUUUGUUUUGAGAUGCAUUGAUCCACCAAGGGCAAGGCCUCCUUGUUACAGCUGAGCCAGGUUUUUGAAACUAGACUGGGUUAUAGUUAACUGGAUCUUGAAACCACGUGCCACACAAUGAGCAGAACAGAAAUCAGCUGGUUCUUCGAGUGGGGGGGGGGAAUGAAAGCUUUCAAUUUCCUGAUGAAGUAACCAACCACACCUGUUUCUCUACCAGAUGAAACUGAAAAGAAAACUUUGAGUCAGAUAAUGCCAAAGCACGUGGCUGUCUUGUUGGGUAUGACUGUGUCCAAGCCUGCUGUGCUGCCUGGGAGGGGGCUGAGGAUCAGCAUCCUCUGCUGUGAGCACUGGAUGCCUGUGCACAGCAGUGGCCGAGCAUCCCAGCGGGCUUCUUCCAAAGAAAUGGAAAAAGAAAAGGGGGGAGGGCUUGGUAGGGACUUGGCUGGUGCCCACAUCCAGUAAAGCAGUGAAAGAGAAAAGCUUUAAGAAAGUUGUGACCUUUUUGUUUCUUUUGCUCCCCUCAGUGUUAUCAGAGGGGAAAUGUUCUUCUUGAGAUUUUGCUGAAAUGGUUUGUGAGCCGUGUGGAAGCUUGGUGGAAUUUCAGAAUGGACUGAUAGAGGAUUUCCAGGCAGCGGUGACCUGCAGGAGGGUGUGGGGAUGACUCGAGCUGCCCUCCAGCAGGAUGCUCUCACUGCUGGGCCUUGGCACCUGCAGCAAGGUGUACAUUAGUAGUAAAAUCAUGAAUGUUGUUAAACUGAUGUUAAUUAUUUAAACAGGGCCCGGCUCGCACUUGUUUUUUUUUUUUUUGUUUGUUUUUUAAUGCUCUUUCUUCCCUGUGAGGUAGCUAGAGCUAAACAUAAACUGCAUUAAAGCUGGAGGACUGGCAGGGGAUGUAAAGUUACAGCAUGUGCUGGGAGGAUGGAAGUGCAGAGAGGACCGCUUGGCAGGAGCCGUUUCCCACGAGUGUGGGAGCAGUGCUGCAAGGACUGGGGAAGGAGCAGCGCUUAUUCCUCGGCCUCUUUAGAAGGCUUGUCCCCUCACAUCAGCUGCAUUUCAAUCCUUGCCAGGCAAAGAAUUGAAAUAGCCAUGUGAGGUCCCCAUUUGGCUCAGCACUCACAGGCCCAGUCCAAAGGAUGAGCCUCGUGCUGGUUACAGCCUUUUUACAAACCCGGAGGAAAGGCACGGAGGCACACGGAAUCGCUGACCCGAGGUUCUGCGGCCAGCUGCCAGGGCUCUG